rnacentral:rRNA from 1 species
AACGAACGCUGGCGGCAUGCCUAACACAUGCAAGUCGAACGAGACCUUCGGGUCUAGUGGCGCACGGGUGCGUAACGCGUGGGAACCUGCCCUUAGGCUCGGAAUAACUCCCCGAAAGGGGUGCUAAUACCGGAUAAUGUCUUCGGACCAAAGAUUUAUCGCCUUUGGAUGGGCCCGCGUUGGAUUAGCUAGUUGGUAGGGUAAAAGCCUACCAAGGCGACGAUCCAUAGCUGGUCUGAGAGGAUGAGCAGCCACACUGGGACUGAGACACGGCCCGGAAUCCUACGGGAGGCGGCAGUGGGGAAUAUUGGACAAUGGGCGAAAGCCUGAUCCAGCAAUGCCGCGUGAGUGAUGAAGGCCGUAGGGUUGUAAAGCUCUUUUACCCGGGAUGAUAAUGACAGUACCGGGAGAAUAAGCUCCGGCUAACUCCGUG